CUUCGCAGAGGCGCUAAUUAGGACGCGCGCUAAUUAGGACGCGCGCAGGAUCGUGGCUGAGCCGGGGCCUGCGCUGGAGCAGCCGCGAACUCCGCGCUUCGGUCGGCGAGAUGGGCAUCCCGGGAACCACCACCGCGCAGGUGGUGGACGCCGAGGGCCUGGGAACACGGCGGCCCUCCCGCUAACAGGUGACUGACCCGGGCGGGCCCGGAGCCGCUCCGGUGACACCGAGGGCCAAGCUCGAGGCUCGCGGAGGCGGCCGCGGGGCGGCGCUGCGCCCCUUCCGGCCGCUGGGCCCUCUGGCCGCAGGCUCCUCUGCCGCGGGGCGCUUCGUGGGCUCCCAGUCUUCGGCCCGGCGCCGCAGCACAGGAUGCAGUGUCCCGGCGCCGAGUACCUGGUUUCUGCAGAGAGAACCCCCCGGAAAAGAGAGUGGAGACCUCAGAUUUAUAGGAAGUGCACAGAUACAACAUGGCUGUUCCUCUUCUUUCUCUUUUGGACUGGUUUGCUGUUCAUCAUGGGCUACUCGAUGGUGGCGGGAGCCACGGGAAGACUCCUCUUUGGCUAUGACAGCUUUGGCAACGUGUGUGGCAAGAAGAACUCCCCUGUAGAAGGGGCCCCUCUUUCAGGGCAGGACAUGACCCUGAAAAGACACGUAUUCUUUAUGAAUUCCUGCAACUCGGAAGUCAAGGACGUGAGGCUCAGUUCCACCAUCCUGUGCGUGUCGAGCUGUCCUGAAGAGCAGCUUGAUACCCUGGAAGAGGUCCAGCUCUUUGCAGACAAGAAUGGGUCCUUCCUGUGUGUUUACAGUUUGAAUUCCAUCAACUACACCCAGAAUCCAAAUGCAGACUCAUUGUGUCCCAGGCUGCCCGUUCCUCCGAGCAAGUCUUUCCCCUUGUUUAACAGAUGCGUCCCUCAAACACCCGAGUGCUAUUCCUUGUUUGCAUCUGUUUUGAUAAAUGAUGUUGACACCCUCCAUCAAAUUCUAAGUGGAAUAAUGUCCGGAAGAGACACAAUCCUUGGUCUGUGUAUCCUCGCAUUAGCCUUGUCUUUGGCCAUGAUGUUCACCUUCUGGUUCAUCACCACCCUUCUGGUUCACAUUUUCAUUGCACUGACUGUUUCUGGACUGCUGUUUGUCUGUGGUGUCUUAUGGUGGCUGUAUUACGACUAUACCCAUGACCUCAGCAUAGAAUUGGACACAGAAAGGGAAAAUAUGAAGUGUUUGCUGGGGUUUGCUCUUGUAUCUACAGUAAUCACGGCAGUUCUGCUCAGCUUGAUUUUUGUCUUCAGAAAGAGAAUAAAAUUGACAGUCGAACUUUUCCAAGUCAUAAAUAAAGCCAUCAGCAACUCUCCAUUCCUGCUGUUCCAACCACUAUGGACUUUUGCCAUCCUCAUUUUCUUCUGGGUCCUCUGGGUGGCCGUGCUGCUGAGCCUGGGAACUGCAGGAGCUGCACAGGUUAUUGAAGGUGGCCAAGUGGAAUAUAAGCCUAUUUUAGGCAUUCGGUAUAUGUGGUGGUACCAUUUGAUUGGCCUCAUCUGGACUAGCGAAUUCAUCCUUGCGUGCCAGCAAAUGACUGUAGCCGGCGCACUUGUUACUUGCUAUUUCAACAGAAAUAAAAAUGACCCUCCUGAUCGCCCAAUCCUUUGGUCUCUCUCCACUCUUUUCUGCUACCAUCAAGGAACAGCCAUAAAAGGGUCAUUUUUAAUCACUGUGGCAAGGAUUCCAAGAACCAUUCUCAAGUACAUUUACAACACUCUGAAAGACAAGCAUAAUGCAUGGUCGACGUACAUGUUCAGAUGCUGCUUCUGCUGUUUCUGGUGUCUUGACAAAUGCCUGUGCCAUCUCAACCAGAAUGCGUAUGCUGCAACUGCCAUUAAUGGGACAGAUUUUUGUACAUCAGCAAAAGAUGCGCUCAAACUCUUAUCCAAGAAUUCAAGUCAUUUCACAUCUGUUAACUGCUUUGGAGACUUCAUAAUUUUUCUAGGAAAGGUGUUGGUGAUGUGUCUCACUGUUUUUGGAGGACUGAUGGCAUUUAACUACAAUCGUGCCCUCCAGGUGUGGGCAGUCCCUCUGCUGCUGGUUGCUUUUUUUGCCUACUUCGUAGCCCAUAGUUUCUUAUCUGUGUUUGAAACUGUGCUGGAUGCACUCUUCCUGUGUUUUGCUGUUGAUCUGGAAACAAAUGAUGGAUCGUCGGAAAAGCCCUACUUUAUGGACCAAGAGUUUUUGAGUUUUGUAAAAAGGAUCAACAAGUUAAAAGACACGAGGGCACAGGGGGAGGAGAACUCACUAAGGAACGAGGAGGGAACAGAACUCCAGCCCGUUGUGUGAUAGGUGCCCAUUAGAGUGUUGCCCCUGGAAAGUGUCCUUCUUCUAAGAGCCAUUCACAGAAUAAAUGGUUUCUCAUGUGCAAAAUGGAGAAAAUACCACCUACUUUGGAUUUAGGAGAGGAUUCAACAUAAGCAAUGUAAAAAGCACAGCGUAAUGUGGGCACCCUGGAGAGUUACAUGUGAGUACCUAUUAUGACCACAUACACUCUCCAGGCCAUCCAUUUCAGAAGCUCAUCACACAUUCAGCAGAACUUAUGCCGAGCAGUCCUUAAGGCCUGAAGUCUCAAAGAGCCAGCCACAAGUACAGUAACUCAUUUCUCCAUUUAUGCCAAGCAGACAGUCCAGGUUUAACUGGUAAAAAAGGAAACUUGAAUGGCUCCUAUACAAGACAAUGCCACAUGUGGCAGGACAUCUCAACUUUAGGUCACAAGGAGAAAGCUUUUUCAAACCUUAUCCCCCACUCCUGUUGGAUGUGAGCCCUGCCUGCUCUCCAGUGGUUAUGGGAACCUCCCUAUGAGGGGCUGAUUAUUUUUAACAAGGAAAUACUUCCAUCUUGCAUGGUGUUAGAAUGCUGGCAUUCUCACCAUGCUAGAGCCCCACCUAACUCCUCCUUAGAACACCAGAUCAUUUUACCUACCAAGUUUCAGAGGCAUUAGAAGGAGCAAUUUACUUGGAUCUGGAGCAAGAAAUAAACUUGCUAUAAUAAACAUAUCUCUUUUCUUCUGGUUAGACGGAAAGACCAGCUGUUCUGACUGCCAACACACCAUACUUGUGUUCCUAUAGAAAGGUCCUCUGAUUCUUUUGCUUUCUCAAAAAAACCAACUUUCCUGAAGGAAUGUACUUUAUACCAUACAAAAAAUACGUCCUUUGAACUUAGUUAAGUGUGGGAUGCCUGGGUGGCUCAGUUGGUUAAGCAUCCAACUUCAGCUUGGCUCAUGAUCUCACUGUUCCUGAGUUCAAGCCCCACAUCAGGCUUCCUGCUGUCAGCACAGAGCCCUAUGUCCCCCCCGCCUCGCUCCCUCUCUAAAAAUUAAACAUUAAAAAAAGAGUAAGUUAAGUGCUAAUUUAAAUGAUCCUUCUCUACUCUUUUCUCCAAGUAUAAAAAGGCACUGCUUACCUGGCU